rnacentral:rRNA from 1 species
GAUGAACGCUGGCGGCGUGCCUAAUAAAUGCAAGUCGAGCGAAGAGGGGAAGGGUGAGUAACACGUGGAUAACCUCCUAUCAGACUGGGAUAACUUCGGGAAACAGGAGCUAAAACGGAUACUUAAAGCUGGAUCCGCGCUGCAUUAGCUAGUGGGUAAGGUAACGGCUUACAAAGGCAACGAUGCAUAGCCGACCUGAGAGGGUGAUCAGCAACACUGGACCUGAGACACGGGCCAUACUCUGACGUGAGGCAGCAGUAGUGAAUCUUCCGCAAUUGGCGAGAGCCUGACGGAGCAACGCCGCGUGAGCGAUGAAGGUCUUCGGAUCUUAAAACGCUGUUAUUAGGGAAGCGGUGCCUAAUCAGAAAGGCACGGCUGACUACGUGCCAGCAGCCGCGGUAAUAC